ACACGGAGAGAGAGAGAGAGAGAGUAAAAGAAAAGAGAGAAGGGAGAUUUGGAGAAGGGGAAGGGGAGAAAGGGAGUUGGGCGGAAAGAGAAAGAAAGGCAGAGACAGAAAAGGUAAGGAGAAGGAGAAGGGAUGGACAGAGGGAGAAAGAGAGGCAGAGGGAGAAAGAGAGGCAGAGGGAGAAAGAGAGGCAGAGGGAGAAAGAGAGGCAGAGGGAGAAAGAGAGGCAGAGGGAGAAAGAGAGGCAGAGGGAGAAAGAGAGGCAGACACGUUAUGGCACUACUCUGGACACAUUUGGUGCAAUGCCAGCUUUACAUUAGGUUUCCCUGCCAAUGGGUUGACAGAAGAAAUGAGGCAAAAUGCAGAAAUAAAGGGAGUGAAGCAAAGUCUGUACAAGCAUUAGAGAACUAAUAAAACGGCCAAACACAUUCUCAAGUUAGGCUGCUAUCACUGCUAUCAUUAUCUCUACAGUGGAACCCCUCCUAUCACUGCUAUCAUUAUCUCUAUAGUGGAACCCCUCCUAUCACUGCUAUCAUUAUC
rnacentral:lncRNA from 1 species